CCCCUCCCCGGCUCCCGGGAGCCGAGGCUCUGCCACCCGCGGGGUUGUCUGGCGCGACCCUGCAGAGCGGAGGCUGGGGAUGGCGCCGGGCAGCCUGCGGAGGUCCCACGGAGGGCCAGGGAGCCUAGGGAGGGGAGCGUUUUGGGGCGAGGCCCCGAGCGGGGUCCCGCGCCUACCAGCCGGGUCUGGAGGGGCCGUGGACCCUGCGGCAGCCUUUGCCUCGUUCUCCCGCUUUUUAAAGAAAUACAAUAAAAUGCACCUUUUUCACUGGGCAGCUCUGCCAGUAUUUACACGCCCAGCCCGGUGCGCCCCACCACUUUCAGGCUGCAGACCCGUCCCCCCUCUUUUUUCAAGGCCUCCCCGCGGCCCAGCCCCGUAAGCUCUGCCUCGUCCCCUGCGCGGCGCCUAAAUGGAAUUAAAGCAAACACAGCCUUCAGAUCUGGCCUCUGUCGCUGGGCAGAGCGCCCUGGAAAUUCAGCAACCCCUCCUUGCCAGCUGGGACUCGGGCCACCAGGCACCAGCUUGAUCAGCCAGUCACCCGGGGGCCCUUGGAGAUGAUUCUGGCUUCCGGGGGUCAGGAACAGAGCUGCCCUCCAGCCUGCAGUCAGGCCUCUGCGGGAAGAACGAUUCGGUCAGGAAGCUGCGCCGCAGCCGUGGCUUUGAAAGAGGCUGGGAAGCCUCCCUUGGAGCCGGAGGUCUCGCCAUCCCCAGGUGAGAGUCGCCCUCAGCAGCCACGACAUGAGGUCUUGGGAGAAGGUAGCUGCUGACCUGGGCAGAGGCGCAAAGUGAAAGGACCCGUUUGGAUGCCCGCCGAGACUCUGCGAAUAACCGCGAGAGAAACUGCUUGGGGUGACGGUUCAGAUCCUUGGGACCGUGUUCGGACCCACAAGCGACUCCCUGAGCUGCGUGGGUCUUCUGAGCUCGUUCCGCAGGCAACGUCCAUCAGAACCGAACCCGGGGCCGAGGCUGAAGCCCCCUUGGCAGAUCGUUAAGUCCAACGUUUUCACAAGUUGACACUCAGCUGUUCAAAACCAAACCAAACAAAACGUUUGGAGACCCGCUGCACCCACACUUCGGACCACAGGCCCCCCCACCCGCCCCCGGCAGCCGGUGUCCUCAGGCAAAGAGUCAGGAUACUUGGCUGCAUGGCCAGGACUGUCCCCUGGGAGUUCAGGUGGCUGGACCGAGUUCCGCUCGCAUCCCCUCGAUCCCUGUGCAGACACCCAGGCUGGCCAGCGGGUCCCGCUGGGAGCAAAGACAAGCCUGGGAGGGUCAGGGUGAAGUCCUGAACGUCCCCAGAGGAUCGACCCAGCCCCCCCCCCCCUUUCGUCUGGGUCGUUUCCAAGGAGACCGAAGCGGGGCUCCUCUCUGGGACCGACAGUCAGUGACCGAGCUGCCUGCUGAGGCGUGUGGCCCAGGAGGAGGGGAUGAAGGAGAGAGCAGAGUCUUCGAAGGGAGCUGUGGAGAAGGCCGUUGCAAGGCUCUGCAUUGCCAGGGGCUGUGGGCUCUGGGGCGCGGGGAAGGGCCUCUGGCACCUCGACCGCCUGCCCACUGUGGGCUGGAGAUUGUGAUGAAGAAGCACCAGGCCAGCCUGCCAAGGAAGCGGAACACGUGACACCACUUAGUGCCGGGAGCCCAGGUGGUGGCGCUGGAGUCCACUGCUGGGCUCGGAAGAGCGGCAUCUUGACCUGGAGGGGUGUCAGCCUCACGGGGCAAGGCACGGCCGCAGCACUGAGAGGGUCCAAGUCUGAUGGAGCCCGCAUGCCAGGCUCGGGGUCAACCCCUGUGCAAAGGGCUCCCGAGCCUGACUGUGAGAGGAAUCCUGCCCAUCAGUGGGGCAGCUGUCCUGUUCGGCAUGCAGUGGUCAGCACUCCAUCAGAAAUACCAAGUCCAUUCCGUGUGCCCCUCUGUCAUGCUGGGCAUCACCGUGGCAAUGCCGUGAUGGGUCCAGGUGGAGCCUGGGAGGGGAAGAUGGUGGACUCUGGUCCCAAAGAACCAACUUAGCAGGUGUUGGAACUCAAGCUUCUCUCGACUAAAAAGGGACGGGGUGUGGUUGGCUGCCGCAAACGUUGCUGCGGGAACCCUUUGUUCUUGCAGCUGUGCCCGUAGGCGUCUGAGGUGGUGAUGUUCCUGUGAGCCUCUGACAAGACAGCGGCUAUUUCCUGUUCUGCAGCUUUUUAUCUCAAGGUGAAGGGGAGAGUGUUACACCCUUAAAGCUAGGAGCCUUGACAAUGAGCCCUCCUGUAUAUUUCAGGCUGUUGGCAACAUUCCUUUCUUGAUUAACUUGCAGCCAAAGCAAUAGGCUACAAGGUUAAAGUAAAGGAAACAGAUCCAACGUGGAUUCAGAUCUGUUCUUCCUGACUCUAUCAGGACCCCAAAGGGGGGUGUCUUUAAUGUGUAAUUUUCCAAGUGGCAAGCUGCCUUGGUUCCCUGUGGGUGCUGUAAAGAAAAGGUGCAGACUCCGUGGCUUUAGGCAAAAGAGAUCUAUGCUCCAGCUCUGGAGGCCAGAAGUCCAAAAGCCAGGUGUCAGCAGGGCAGCACCCCCUCCGAAGUGGCUCCAGGGGCGAAAGCUUCCCUGACCCUCCCAGCCUCUGGUUGCCGGCUAUCCUUGGGCUUCCUUGGCUUGCCGUGUGACGCUCCAAACUCUGCCUCUGUCAGCACGUGCCCCACCCCCACGUCUCCUUCCUCUGGUUUUGUGUCUUCAAACACCCUCUUUGCAAAGCGGCCGCAUUUGAAGCUCUGGGUGAAUGUGAACCUCGGGGUCACUACACAGACCGAACAGCGACCUCCUCGGAAACAGCCCAAGAGUCAGUGAACAUAUAGCAGGUUUUAUCAAGGGACCGUAAAAUAGAAAUAGAAGUGUGUUUAUCUUUCACGUAGCCCGCGGAGGGUCGGCAUCCGAGGGCGAUCGGAGACCCCCUUGGAGACGUUCUCUGGGCGCACGUCUCGGGAUGUGGUUUCUGUCUUGCAGUCCCAAAUGGCUGCUCCGGCUCCAAACAUCAUCUCCACUCUCCCCCAAGAAGGAAGAGCAAAAGGGACCCGAAGAGCACGACUUUCCCUUUAAAGAGACGACCUAGAGCAGCUUACCUCUUCUGCUCACACGCCAUUGGCCCGAUCUCAGUCGCACGCUGCAAAGCGUGCUGGGAAAUGUAGUCUUUUUCUGCACCAAGCAACCCCAGAGGUCUGGAACUUGUCAGUCUCGGGCACAAGCAUGUCGUGAGGAAAAUGGGGAGAAGGAGACCUGGGCCCUGGGCAGAUGGCCCUUCCAGGCACAGCUCAUCCCACGGCUCCAGACCCCAGUGACCUUGGACGGAGGUCAGGGGUCCCGCAGGUC